rnacentral:lncRNA from 1 species
GCCAAAGAAGAGAUUCACCCCAAGCCUUACUGUUUAUUACUCACAAGAAGCUCCAGGCGCCUAUAACACGAUUUGCAGUUCCCCCCCCCACCCCCCUAAGAUUUCACUCUUCGUAGUGCUUGGUGACUAGCGCAUCUGGGGGAUUUUUCUGUGGGUGCCAAGGUCACAGUACCAGGACUGGCAGCUCUGUAGUCUGACUGGUUAGGGUAGCAGAGCCCAGGCUCCACUGACUUCACACGGCCAAAUUCAGGCCCUUGCACUUUAUACUGGUGUGACUUUGGGCACGUUACUUAACCUCUCUCUGCCUCAGUUUUCGGUGCUGUAAAUCAAGGAUUCUGGUAACACUUACCUCAGGGGCUGGGGUGAGAAAUGAACAAGAUAAUGUAACAAAGUGUUCACUCAGCAGGGGCCCUGCACAAAGUACUAAAGAACAAAUCCUUAGCUCUUCUGGCACCAGCACACCACCAUUUACACACAACACGUACUUGACUGGCUUUGCCUAGAACUUUGUCACACUUGUCUAAUUAUGAUCGUUGGAAAAACUGAGAGAUGGAAUGAACGGUUCUCUAGCAGGGCUGGGAAGACAGAACCCGGCAGCUUAGGGAUAAACGAUCGGCGUUAUGACCUGACCUUGGACGCCUUCCUGCCCUUCACGCUGAUGUCAACUGGACUGGUCGACAAGAAAGGAAACUUCCUAGGGACCUACUACGUGCCAGACACAGCAUGAGACUCUAUCUUUUAUUCGGUAAGGAAACGGGGUGCAAACCCUCGGCGUGUGGAGAGCGGCGCGUGCGCCGAGGCCGGGCUGGGCUGCUCUCCUGGCUUUACAGCUUCGUCCUAAACUGCGGCCUCCGAAUUGAGGCUGUGGGUACGGGAGGCUCUUCCUGCAAUCUCGGGACAGCCGCUCAGGGAAGAGGGGGACACAGGACAUGUGCCUCGGGCCUGGCUUCACUUACGAAGCCAGACGUCCCCAUGCAAAGUCGGGAACCGGACAGACCCCCGUGGGAAGGUUUACUGGAGGCCUUGACCUUGGUGCCUGAGACUCAUUUUCCCAUUCUGCCGGCCGGGGGCGAGGACCUAGCCCCUCAGCCAAGAUCAAUGGAGGCAAAAAACCGGGAGAUCCCAUAAAUCCCACCGAGCUCAUCACAGCCGCCAAAUUAUGCCCUGAUAAAGCUUUCGGUGGUUAACAAUAUGGCCGUUCACCAGGCGAGGACGCGGCUGGGAGGGGUUUCCGGAGCGCGUCUGGCCCGCGGCGGAGACAAGAGUCCCCGAGCGUUAUCUGAAGGCUCUCUGGCCCUAAUGAAGGGUGAAGCUUUGAACGUGAUUAUUUCUAAACAAAUAAGUAAUACGGAUAAUUUAAAAAUAAACAAAGAUCUGGAUGUUAAAGGCCACUUCUGGCUCAGGACCAAGAUUAACAGCGAGUGGCAAGUUUUUGUGAGAGAUAAUGUCUUCUCACGUAUAAAAGACCGCAUUGAUCUCCUGUAGGUAUUAUCCCGAGAAUGUGCAGUCUAUAUCUGUGGGCAGAGACAGUCUUCCAUCACUUGCUUUAUGGGAAGAGAAUGGUUAUUGUAUCUCUUCCCAUAAAAUAUAAUCUCUUUUCCUCUUUCAAAAAAAAAAAAAAUCUACCUGUUCCUCUGGGAAUUUCCAGUUGUAAUCUGGGGAACUGAACUGAUCUUUUUUUUCUUUUCUUUUGCAUGUGCCAGUAUUUUUAUAUUUGGCUUCUUUACAUUUUCUCAUUAUUCUCUGGAGUCUGGCUUUUCCAGACUGUUAUUUGAGCCGUCUAGAAAUUCCUUUAAAAUCAGGGCCAUUGACACAUGCGUGAUGUGACUGUCAGGUUCCCUGUGACUUGCUGAGGAGUGCCCCUCCCUUAUCCUCCCAUGGGGGCUGGUGUGAGGGCCUGGGACCACUUUGGAGGCAAGGAGAGCUUGCGUGGCAUGUUCCAACAGGAUAAAAAUGCAAAAAAAAAACCCCAAUUGCUGAAGGAAGGAAAUGUUAUUCCUGAGGAUGGGGGUUCUCGGCACUACCUCCGGGCAUCUCUUCAGGAUCAAUGCAGACAGAAGGGCAAAGUCCCUCCUAUUUAAAUGUCGUGCUCUGAGCAGUGGUGGCUCCCUAAGCUAAUGAGUUUGGCUAAGGAGAGCCCAGCAAUGCGGUCCUGUCCAGCCCUUACACACAGAGGUCUGCAAACUGUCCAGGCAGUGCCCCGAGGCCCUGCCUUCACCUCUUUACUGACGCAGACCCUCCCCUCGUCCUCCUUGCCCAAAGCGCCCACCCUUCCAGGGUCAAGUCCCGCACAAGCCACCCCCACACUUUCUGCCCUCUGCACUCCUCUCUUCUCCGAACUCCUGUGGCGCCCCGGACUGUGGUGUCCCGGCCAGCAUAGAUGACAGCCACCUGUCACUGUGGAACCUGGGCUGUGGUUCGGCACAAGCACGGGGCGCUCUCCGCGCUCUCUCUCCACUUCUGCACGGUGCCUGGAGCCAACCAGUGCAAAAUAAACUACAGGAUUGUCCUAAGCCUAAAAAGAU